rnacentral:rRNA from 1 species
UACGGGAGGCAGCAGUGGGGAAUAUUGCACAAUGGGCGCAAGCCUGAUGCAGCCAUGCCGCGUGUAUGAAGAAGGCCUUCGGGUUGUAAAGUACUUUCAGUCGUGAGGAAGGUGUUAAGGUUAAUAACCUUAGCAAUUGACGUUAGCGACAGAAGAAGCACCGGCUAACUCCGUGCCAGCAGCCGCGGUAAUACGGAGGGUGCGAGCGUUAAUCGGAAUUACUGGGCGUAAAGGGCACGCAGGCGGUUAAUUAAGUUGGAUGUGAAAUCCCCGGGCUUAACCUGGGAAUGGCAUUCAAGACUGGUUAGCUAGAGUCUUGUAGAGGGGGUAGAAUUCCAUGUGUAGCGGUGAAAUGCGUAGAGAUGUGGAGGAAUACCGGUGGCGAAGGCGGCCCCUGGACAAAGACUGACGCUCAUGUGCGAAAGCGUGGGGAGCAAACGAGGGA